CUCUUCUGGAGAUCCUCCUCUUUUGGUAUCUUCUGGUGAGCUCAACCCAAGGCAAACAACCCCUAAUGACUGUGAGGAUCUUCAUCAGGGUCGGAGAGCUUAAUGCACAAACCUGUGCUCUGUAGCAGAAACAGACAGGAAAAAGCACCUGAGGCUGUCUGAGAACAUGACAUCCCUUUCUUAAACAAGUCCAGGUGCUACAUCACAGAAGGAAGACAAAUG